rnacentral:rRNA from 1 species
UACGUAGGGUGCGAGCGUUGUCCGGAAUUAUUGGGCGUAAAGAGCUCGUAGGCGGUCCGUUACGUCGGGUGUGAAAAUCCAGGGCUCAACCCUGGACCUGCACCCGAUACGGGCGGACUAGAGUUCGGUAGGGGAGACUGGAAUUCCUGGUGUAGCGGUGAAAUGCGCAGAUAUCAGGAGGAACACCGGUGGCGAAGGCGGGUCUCUGGGCCGAUACUGACGCUGAGGAGCGAAAGCGUGGGGAGCGAACAGG